AGUGAACGCUGGCGGCAGGCCUAACACAUGCAAGUCGAACGGCAGCACAGAGGAGCUUGCUCCUUGGGUGGCGAGUGGCGGACGGGUGAGGAAUACGUCGGAAUCUGCCUAUUUGUGGGGGAUAACGUAGGGAAACUUACGCUAAUACCGCAUACGACCUACGGGUGAAAGCGGAGGACCUUCGGCGUUCGCGCAGAUAGAUGAGCCGACGU
rnacentral:rRNA from 1 species